UUUCCUUUGGCCCCAGAAGCAGGGCUUGGCAAAGUCACGUCCAGCACAGUUGUCCUAGCAAAGUCACUGGAACAGCCCUCAGGAGUAGGCACUGGCUCCCUUGGUCUGGUUUCCCAGCUGACAUAUGCUCUC